rnacentral:misc_RNA from 1 species
GAAAUGCGAUAAGUAAUGUGAAUUGCAGAAUUCAGUGAAUCAUCGAAUCUUUGAACGCACAUUGCGCCCGCCAGUAUUCUGGCGGGCAUGCCUGUUCGAGCGUCAUUACAACCCUCAGGCCCCCGGGCCUGGCGUUGGGGAUCGGCGGAAGCCCCCUGCGGGCACAACGCCGUCCCCCAAAUACAGUGGCGGUCCCGCCGCAGCUUCCAUUGCGUAGUAGCUAACACCUCGCAACUGGAGAGCGGCGCGGCCACGCCGUAAAACACCCAACUUCUGAAUGUUGACCUCGAAUCAGGUAGGAAUACCCUCUGAACUUAAGC